UACAGAGGUCCCAAGCGUUGUUCGGAAUUACUGGGCGUAAAGCGCACGUAGGCGGCUUUGCAAGUCAGAGGUGAAAGCCCGGGGCUCAACCCCGGAAUUGCCUUUGAGACUGCAUCGCUAGAAUUGUGGAGAGGUAAGUGGAAUUCCGAGUGUAGAGGUGAAAUUCGUAGAUAUUCGGAAGAACACCAGUGGCGAAGGCGACUUACUGGACACAUAUUGACGCUGAGGUGCGAAAGCGUGGGGAGCAAACAGG
rnacentral:rRNA from 1 species